GUGAAGGUGGCUCAGUGGUAGAGCGCUUGCCUUGUGUGCAUGAAGUCUUGGGUUCGAUUCCUCAGUACCACA
rfam:Dipodomys ordii contig_2127, whole genome shotgun sequence.